rnacentral:rRNA from 1 species
CAGUCGCCACGGGAAUACGAAGGGGGCUAGCGUUGUUCGGAUUUACUGGGCGUAAAGCGCACGUAGGCGGAUUCUUAAGUCAGAGGUGAAAUCCCAAGGCUCAACCUUGGAACUGCCUUUGAUACUGGGGAUCUCGAGUCCGGGAGAGGUGAGUGGAACUGCGAGUGUAGAGGUGAAAUUCGCAGAUAUUCGCAAGAACACCAGUGGCGAAGGCGGCUCACUGGCCCGGUACUGACGCUGAGGUGUGAAAGCGUGGGGAGCAAACAGGAUUAGAUACCCCAGUAGUCCCUGUCUCUUAUAC